UGAGCAAUCUGCCCUUCUCAUCGGAAUAAGCGUUGGAAACGACGUCUAAUGCCGAAUACGACCUCCUUUCGCAUGAUCGGAGGUGGAAAGCUCCGGCGGAGAAGGAUGAGCUCGCGGCCUAUCAGCUAGUUGGUGAGGUCAUGGCUCACCAAGGCGACGACGGGUAGCUGGUCCGAGAGGAUGACCAGCCACAUUGGGACUGAGACACGGCCCAGACUCCG
rnacentral:rRNA from 1 species